CUACGUGCCAGCAGCCGCGGUAAUACGUAGGUGGCAAGCGUUGUCCGGAUUUAUUGGGCGUAAAGCGAGCGCAGGCGGUUCCUUAAGUCUGAUGUGAAAGCCCCGGCUCAACCGGGGAGGGUCAUUGGAAACUGGGGAACUUGAGUGCAGAAGAGGAGAGUGGAAUUCCAUGUGUAGCGGUGAAAUGCGUAGAUAUAUGGAGGAACACCAGUGGCGAAGGCGGCUCUCUGGUCUGUAACUGACGCUGAGGCUCGAAAGCAUGGGGAGCGAACAGGAUUAGAUACCCUAGUAGUCCAUGCCGUAAACGUUGGGCACUAGGUGUGGGGGACAUUCCACGUUUUCCGCGCCGUAGCUAACGCAUUAAGUGCCCCGCCUGGGGAGUACGGCCGCAAGGCUAAAACUCAAAGAAAUUGACGGGGGCCCGCACAAGCGGCGGAGCAUGCGGAUUAAUUCGACGCAACGCGAAGAACCUUACCAGGUCUUGACAU
rnacentral:rRNA from 1 species